CACCACUCAAGCCUGGCUUGGUAUUGGGCGUCGCGGGUCACCGCGCGCCUUAAAGUAUUUCCGGCUGAGCGACCCGUCUCUAAGCGUUGUGGCAACUAUUCGCGGUGAGAUCGGGUGGCGGCGGCCGUUAAAUCUUUCUAAA
rnacentral:misc_RNA from 1 species